UGAUCUGACUGGCUUGUGGCUCGGCAGGAGAGCUGCAUCCGCAACUGCAUGACUCCCCUCCUUGGGCUGGCUGUUUUCACAACUCUUCUAAGGCAUUCUUGACAACUGGACUUUCCUUCGCUUUGAGGUGAUGAAGGACUGGAUGUGAUAUUGGUUAUAGACACCUCUAUAACCAAUAGAGGUUUUCCCACUUUAGCGAAACACAAUAUGAAGUUUCAGGGCAAUAUCUUAAAAACACAAGCCCAUAUUUUAGAUUUAAAGACUGUUCUCUACUACGUCUAAGAUAACACGCUGCACCAGCCAACCCAUGCAGAUGAACCACGUAUGAAUCAAGCAACAAGCAGGAUCGUUCUCCUCCAUCACUCUCUCCUGUCUGACAGCGUGAACCAGUGUGACCCCACGUUCACCUGGGCCUCACUGGACUGCGGGAGCCUCUUAUCUCUGCUACUGUGCUGAGGACGAGGGGGGAAGAAUGUGUGAAGAAAUGAAGGACUGUGGGGAUAAUGGGCUUGA